rnacentral:lncRNA from 10 species
GAAAGUCAUGAAGUUCUACUUGUCAAGAGAUAUUGCCCAUUCGUCCAACUGCCGCUGUCCUGCCAGUAUAUCGUCUGAGAUUACCAUCAGCUAAAUAUUGCAUUGUCUUUGGACAAUUUUCCUACAUUGUGACUCCUCACUACAUUUUCAAUGCUUUUCUAGUCCCAGACAAGCUACAGACUGUUAAUUUACACUUGCUUUUGCCUUGCCUGAGGAAAUUGAAAAUAAAUUUUAAUUUCCUAGUCAAGGGCUACGGGUGCUUUGUGUGGUUUGGAGGAAAAAAAAAUACUGUUAGAUGGAAUUAGGGAAUAUUAGGAGAGUUUCUGAAGUUAGUGAAGGUACACAGUAAUUGAUCACUUGCCCUCAUAGUGAGAGGUCAUUCCAAUGAGCAGAGGUUCUGUCAAUAUCUGAGAUCUGUUUGAUACCUGGCCUCAAUCUGUCGAUCACGCCCAGUAACCAUAUUCAUAGGCUUCAGAUCUGAAUUUUGAAUUGCAUCAGAAGCUUUCCUCUGGCCUCAGAGAUGCCAUUGAGACCAUUCUCAUAGUUAGUCACCACUCACACUACACAAAAUGGAAGAAAAAAACUUCCUUUGGGGCAAAUCAACAAUCUCUGGUAGGAAAAUAAACAAGGAUGCUUUCAGAAUACCAGAAGCCCAAGUCUGAGCAUCUGGAGGCAAAGGAAGAGUAGAGAAGUCUUUGUUGGUGGGACCACUGCCUGUAGGAAUUUAAGGGAACUUGGAUCUUAGGAGUUGCUCAGUUAAGUCCUAGAGAGAGCCUAAGUGGGACUGAUGAGAAGCAGAACAAAUUGCUAUUUCUGAGAAGAAAAACCAACACUUUUGGAUGUUAACUUUUGGAUGUUUGAAUUUUUUGUUUUAGUUUUUAUUCCUUUUGGGAAAAGCUAUUUUUAUCGCAAAAAAAUAUGUAAAGCUAGCAACAAAAUAGUUGAAAGUAUUUAUUGUGUACCUACUGUGUGAUAAUAGCAGCUGGGUUUCAAACACAAGUGAAUAUGAAAUAAAUGAGCCCUAGAUGCACAAAAA